rnacentral:rRNA from 1 species
CGUGUAGGCGGUUAUGUAAGUCGGGUGUGAAAUCCCUGGGCUCAACCGAGGAAGUGCAUCCGAAACUACAUAGCUAGAGGACGGUAGAGGAAGGUGGAAUUCCUAGUGUAGAGGUGAAAUUCGUAGAUAUUAGGAGGAAUACCGGUGGCGAAGGCGGCCUUCUGGGCCGAUUCUGACGCUGAGACGCGAAAGCGUGGGUAGCAAACAGGAUUAGAUACCCUGGUAGUCCACGCUGUAAACGAUGGGUACUAGGUGUUGCGGGAAUUGACCCCCGCAGUGCCGUAGCUAACGCAUUAAGUACCCCGCCUGGGAAGUACGGCCGCAAGGUUAAA